rnacentral:rRNA from 1 species
GCCCCUAAGCCACACCUCCCAUAGCGGGUUCGGUGCGGCGGACGGACGCCCUGGGGAAUUUAGAGGGGGAAAGCGGAUUGCCCUAGCGGUGUUGUUGGCCCUGCCGACCUCACUGCGAAA